UUACCAGGCGUUCAACCCCUUUGGCGGACAUGGCCAAUGCUCUAUCCAAAUGCGCUUUUAACCGUUUCUGAGAUUUGUUAAAGGCUAACUCUUACUCUCACAGUAUCCCCCCUGCUUGGAUCCCUCCAGCUCUAGUUGCUUGGGUACAGAACCCAAUUCCAGAUGACGAUUCGGUUCGAAAUUCCUUGGCAACAUCAAAGCCUUUACUCAAGUUCUGGGCUACAACUGUUAGGUCGCCAACUAUAAGCUGACUGCUGCUGGUUGGUUGCUUGGAUCUGUCCCUUUCCUAUUUCCUUUCUUGGCCUCUUCAUGGUACUCUUCAUCUUCCCUCUGCCUUCUUCAGAUGUGAAUUAUAGCCAUUUUACUGCAGAACAAAAAUUUGCAGACAGCACAACAAUGCCUGCAGCAUGCAUAAUCUGUAAAACAUGGAAUGUAC